GCAAGUCGAACGGGGUUUUUACUAGUAGCAAUACCUGUAAAAACCUAGUGGCGAACGGGUGCGUAACACGUGAACAAUCUACCUUUAAGUGGGGAAUAAUUAGCCGAAAGGUUAACUAAUACCGCAUGUGGUCGAAGCUCGCAUGAGCUUUGCACUAAAGUCAGGGACCGCAAGGCCUGACGCUUAUAGAGGAGUUCGCGGCCUAUCAGCUUGUUGGUGAGGUAAUGGCUCACCAAGGCUAAGACGGGUAGCUGGUCUGAGAGGAUGAUC
rnacentral:rRNA from 1 species